CCCCCGAUGGUCUAGUUGGAUAUGACGUUCGGCUGUAAACCGAAAGGUCGCUGGCUCGAUUCCGGCUCGGGGGA
rnacentral:tRNA from 1 species